rnacentral:rRNA from 2 species
GGGGAAUAUUGCGCAAUGGGGGAAACCCUGACGCAGCAACGCCGCGUGGAGGAAGAAGGUCUUCGGAUUGUAAACUCCUGUCUUCUGGGACGAAUAAAUGACGGUACCAGAGGAGGAAGCCACGGCUAACUACGUGCCAGCAGCCGCGGUAAUACGUAGGUGGCAAGCGUUGUCCGGAAUUAUUGGGCGUAAAGGGUGCGUAGGCGGCCUUGUAAGUCAGAUGUGAAAGGCUACGGCUCAACCGUAGUAAGCAUUUGAAACUGCAGAGGCUUGAGUGCAGGAGAGGAGAGUGGAAUUCCUAGUGUAGCGGUGAAAUGCGUAGAUAUUAGGAGGAACACCAGUGGCGAAGGCGACUCUCUGGACUGUAACUGACACUGAGGCACGAAAGCGUGGGGAGCAAACA